rnacentral:tRNA from 1 species
AGCCUCCGUGGCGCAAUCGGCUAGCGCGUUCGGCUGUUAACCGAAAGGUUGGUGGUUCGAGCCCACCCGAGGCGA